rnacentral:lncRNA from 1 species
UUGGCAUUGUCACCGUUGUCAUCAUUGGCGCUGUCAUCUUUGACAUCAUCAUCGUCAUCAACAUCCAUCAACAUCGUCACUGUCAUUGUCAUUGUCAUCACCAACACCCAUCAGCAUCACCAUCAUUGGCACUGUCAUCACUGACGUCAUCAUCAUCAACGUCCAUCAACGUCAUUGUCACCGCUGUCGUCAUUGUCAUUGUCACCACUGCUGUUGCCAUCAUCACCGUUAACAUCAACACGGCCUCUAUCACCAUCAUCAUCAUCACCAUCAUCAUCAUCAUCAUCACCAUCAUCAUCAUCCCCCACCACUGCAGCCACACCUUGGCCUUGUGCUCCUUCAGAGCAUUCCCUCAGCACAGGACAGAGGGGACACCUGGGGACAGCGCCAUCGUCAUCAUCAUCACCCAUCGACAUCAUCGUUGUCAUCAUCAUCGUCGUCAUCAAUACACAACGAUAUUGUCAUCAUUGCCAUCAUCAGCACUGUCUCUGUGGCCACCAUCAUCAUCAUCACCAUCAUCAGCACUGUCUCCUGGCCACCACCAUCAACAGCACCAUCUCCAUGACCACCAGCACGAGCAGCAGCAGCAGCACCAUCUCCAUGGACUCCAUCAUCAUCACCCUCUCCUGGCCACCAUCAUCAUCAUCACCAUCAUCAUCACCCUCUCCUGGCCAUCAUCAGCAUCACCACCAUCAUCAUCACCAUCUCCAUGACCAACACCAUCAUCACCACCAUCACCAGCACCAUCUCUUGGCCAUCACCAUCACCAGCACCAUCUCCUGGCCACCAUCAUCAUUAUCACCAUCAUCAACACCAUCUCCUGGCCCACCACCAUCAUCAUCAGCACCAUCUCCUGGCCACCAUCCCCAUCACACCACACAAGUCACCCCCAUGGCCCCGUCUCCGCCGCGCCCUCUCACCGUCCCAGCGCUCGUUGGCCACGCGCAGCACGGCGGUGGCGAAGGUGGGCGUGGUGGAGCCGGCGGGCACCGUGGGGUCGUCCAGGUAGCCCUUCUGUGCCUCGGGGGGGCCCUCGGGGUCGCCCACGUACUGGCCCAGCACCACGUCCUGCAGCUCCACCGGGCUGAUGCACUUGAGCACCUUCACCUGCGGGACCGUGAGGGACACGUGAGGGACACGUGA